AUUGAACGCUGGCGGCAUGCUUUACACAUGCAAGUCGGACGAGUGGCGAACGGGUGAGUAACAUAUCGGAACGUGCCUAAUAAUGGGGGAUAACUAAUCGAAAGAUUAGCUAAUACCGCAUAUUAUUCGAGCGGCCGAUAUUGGAUUAGCUGGUUGGUGGGGUAAAGGCUUACCAAGGCGACGAUCCGUAGCGGGUCUGAGAGGAUGACCAGCCACACUGGGACUGAGACACGGCCCAGACUCCUACGGGAGGCAGCAGUGGGGAAUAUUGGACAAUGGGCGCAAGCCUGAUCCAGCCAUGCCGCGUGUCUGAAGAAGGCCUUCGGGUUGUAAAGGACUUUUGGCAGGGAAGCGUUACCUGAAGAAUAAGCACCGGCUAACUCCGUGCCAGCAGCCGCGGUAAUAC
rnacentral:rRNA from 1 species